rnacentral:rRNA from 1 species
GACGAACGCUGGCGGCGCGCUUAACACAUGCAAGUCGAACGGAAAGGCCUGCUUUCCCUUGUGGAUUGCGGGUACUCGAGUGGCGAACGGGUGAGUAACACGUGAGUGAUCUGCCCCCAACUUGGGUAUAAGCCUGGGAAACUGGGUCUAAUUCCCGAUAGGACUGCAGGGUGGUGCCUGUGGUGGAAAACGAUUUUCUAGUGGUUGGGGAUGAGCUCGCGGCCUAUCAGCUUGUUGGUGGGGUAAUGGCCUACCAAGGCGGCGACGGGUAGCCGGCCUGAGAGGGUGGACGGCCACAUUGGGACUGAGAUACGGCCCAGACUCCUACGGGAGGCAGCAGUGGGGAAUAUUGCACAAUGGGCGGAAGCCUGAUGCAGCGACGCCGCGUGGGGGAUGACGGCCUGCGGGUUGUAAACUCCUUUCGACCGCGAGGAAGCCACCUGGUUGGAAGGGUGGUGACGGUAGUGGUAGAAGAAGCACCGGCUAACUACGU